AAAAUGUUAGUAAAUAUAUUACUCCCCGCUGUCAGCGGGGAAUAGCCUAGGCACAUUUUA
rnacentral:tRNA from 1 species